GCGGCGGCCAUGUUAGCCGCAGCACUGUGGGGGCUGUGAGGGGGGCGGGUGGUUGGCGGAGUUCAUCGGAGCUCAGCGCUGACCGAUCCACUUUUAGGAGCUCUCGGCCGGUAUAACGCUGACCCUGUCGGCUGUAGGAUCGGUGCAGGGACUCGGCAGGGGCUCAUCAGCCCCGUGCUCCAUCCUGGAGCCUGAGAAAGGGACAUGGUUCCAGUCCCAGCCUAAGAGAAGAUGCGAGAAACGGUGCUAAAGCCGCCCUGCUGCGUGGCCCGAGCACUGCAAGUGGUAUUUGUUACGUGCACAAGUGGUUGCAGGGGCAGGACUGGACCUUAGCCCUCAGCAAACAUCCACGUUGCUGUUCUGGGGUCAGCUGAGUUUGUGCUGCCAGUGGCUUGGAAACGAGGGAAGGUUUCAGUAUGAGGCACUCAGGCCCUGCUGCAGGCAGGCGUUCAGCUGCUGGGAAAAGUGAACACAAACUGCUGUGGUUUGUUUUGUUUUAAGGCUGGCUGUAAAUCCUUGCUGCCAGCACUCUGACAACAGUUUGUAUCUCUGUGGCUGCUUCUUAAAGUAGCUUAAAUGGAAAUGCUGUAGAAAUGAUGGACUGGAUGAGGAGCUACGAGAUACGGUUUAGUGGCUUGUGGUAGUAUUGGUAAUGGGAAGAUGGUUGGACUAGAUGAUCUUGUAGGUCCUUUCCAACGUUGUAAUUCUAUGAUUCUAUGAAAGAAGGAGCCUUCCCUGGUAGGUAAUGUGCUUCCCACUGAGAGGUGAGGUAGGCAGCAAUGUCUGCCUGGCAUUCCUGGGUGGGAAGAGUUGGCUUUAACGUGGCCCUGUGCUACCAAACCCAGUAGUCUGGAGGUGGCUUAGGAACAGUCGUCCCUUCGCAAACUGCUCCUAUCUCUGCCACUCUCCUUAAUGUGCUGCCCUACCUCUUCUUUGUCAGGCCACCUCCAACAUAAGACUUGAUUUCACCUAUGCUUUUACUUGUGCCUUUCCUUCCUGGUCCCAGUUUCCCAUUUUUUGGUGUCACAGGUGCUUCUACUUCUAAGCCCAGAGCUGUGCUUCAUGGGCAGCAGCUGCCUGGCAGUGUGGUUUCAGAUCAGGAUUUAAUGCAGUGCUGAUUGAUCGCUGCUCCGAUUGCUUCUGGCUGGAGCUGUCGCGGCUCAUGAUAGAUUCUCUCGCUCUCUUUUUCCAGAUCAUCAGUGUUCAUUGAUAUAGCAAGCCUCUCCACUGCUGACCAGACUCAUACAUUUGCCUCCUGCUUUGAGAUCCACCUUGUCAGCCCCUGUUCUGCCUUUCUGAGUGAGUGGAACUUCUGACGCUCCUGACAUGCUGGAUCUGUGUCUCCAUUGCAAUCUAAUGCACAAAGGGAAGACAAGAAAGCCUGAAAAGGCUCACGGAUCUUGCAUCUGAGUGCUAUCAGAAGGUCUGUGUCAUUGUUACCUGUCUUCAGAACUCCAAAGAUUUUGACUGCUGUCAAGAGUAGAAAUUUGGCUACCAGCCUUGGAAUUUACUACAGUGGAAUCUUUUAGCCACUUGUUCAGCAGAAAUUCAACAGAACAUCAAAUGGAGCAAAAUCAGAUUUGACAGACUGUUUCCUUCUUCAUAAAUGGCUCCUGUAACUGAAAUAACUUUCAACACAGCUCUGCUUGAUUGUAGGAACUCACACCCUAAUGCCACCCAGCCAUUAUGGCCGUGCCUCAUCACCCUUUCAGCCAUCACCUACUAACCUGGGGUAGCAGUGUAGGCUCUGGGCUGUAUUUUCCUCCCUGAAGGUGGACAUCAGCAUGUGGUCAGCAGCAUCAGCCGUGGCUCAGCGCCUCCUGCAGCUUCUCAGCCUCAUCCAUCAGCCAGUAGAAGCAGGCAAGUUCUUGCUUCUCUGGGCCUGAUGGUGGGAUCCAGGCACUUGGCCUUUCCCAGAUCCACAGUGGCCACAUCUGUUCUGGCUUCCUGCAGAUGCAGCCCCUGCCUGCAGCUCCCAUAUGAAGUGUGCUGGCCAGAUGGUGCGGAAUCAAGUGUGCAUGAAGUAGUGCUGGUUGGUGAUGCACAGUACAACGAAGAUAACAUAGGAGCAGCCAGCCUCUUCGCUCUGAAGGUAGACAUUGGAGCAGUUGUUGAACAUGAAGGUUUGGAAGAGGACCAUCGUGGUGGUGAAGUACCUGAAGAGCUGCAGGUGGGACUCGCAGGAGAGGCAGCGCAUGACUGCAGUGCACGACUACAGAGAAGAUGGCAAGGGUGACAGGUUGCAGAUGCAGAGUGGUCAUGAGAUGCUGAUAGGAGUUGGCUGAGGCCUCGGCUGCAACAGAAUGGCUCUUGGCAGUUUUUUUCCUGCUGGCUGAGCGUGUUCUCUGUGAAAACCGGGGGCCCUGUCUCCAAUUUGGAUGUGCUCCAGCUUCUGCUCCCAGAAGCUUCUGCUAGUUCUUGUCAUGCCUUUCUUUGACUGAUGAAUCAUUUCAUAGCUAGGUAACUGAGUACCUGCUGAGACUGUCUGUUUCCAGGAGCAUAGCCUGCAUUUAUUAUUAUUAUUAUUAUUUUUUUUUUUGGUGACUGCUAGCAAAAAAAACCAAACCAAACAACCCAAGGGUUUGAACUGUUACUUUCCACUGGUGGGAAACCAAACCCAAACCACCCCUCCUGUGUGCUGUGCUAAAAAAAUAUCCUCAGAGGUCUCUUCUUUCUCUCGGGUCUCCCCCAGAUACUGAGAGGAGCCAUGAGCAGGCUUUGCUGGAGGGGUUAUUGCAUGCAUCCUCUUCUCCUUCAUUGCAGAUUUCUCCCUGUCACACGGCAGUGUGCCCUGUAAUGGCUUGCUGUGGUAUGUAGCACAAAUGCUGGCAGAGAUGAUGCUUGAGUGGUUUGCAGCCUACCCACGAGGCUGCUAAUUGCCCCUGCCCCUUCUCACUCAAUCCACUCUGUCGUGCUGUGCAGAUGAGCAAAGUGGUCCUGGGAGAGUUGGGAUAAAGCACGUGAAAGUCUCCAGUUCUUUUCUGGCUUGUUUGAUUACAGAAACAAGAAAAGCAUUUCAGUUCAACUUGGAAUAAAACAGCCUCUGAUGUGCUCAGCUCCUGUCUUCUGCAGUGCUGCUUAGGACAGUGCGAAGUCCCUGCAGGAGUCAGUGGACGAUCGCCUGUGGCUUCAGUGAAUGGAAGCAGAUCCCUGAAUUGCUUUAUCUCAAAAUCUCCUUUCAUAGACCUGCCUCAGGCUGAAGCUCCCUGGCAGACAGUGCAAAGUGUUGCAUUUGCCCAUUAUAAAGAGAUGCUGAGACCGAACAAAGCUUUUGGACAGAGCAGUGAUAAAAAGGAUUGUCUUUAGCAGUCGAGGUUUGUCCCUGGUAGAGAGCACCUGCUUUUCCUGGAUCAACGGGGAGGAUUUCUGAAUCCAUUUUGGUAUACAGGCAAGGACAAUAUAUGUGUUUGAAACGAUGCUGAAUUUGUCUGAGAUCCCUGCUGGACUGGAUUAUUCUUUCCCAUCGUGUAGGAGAGCAGCUAUAAUGACCAGUGUCACGGUGAUGUGCAAGGGAGGAAGGCUCCCAAAUGCCAGGUGCAAAGCAGAACGAGAACUGCCUAUAUUAAAGCUUAUUUGCAUUUAGCCAACUUAUUAAAUGCACUUUUUUUUUCUAGGCAGUUCAAGGACUGAAAAAUGCACUUUAGAUAAGCAAUUAAUCAUAUUGAGGGAAUACAGAUUAAAUGAUCAAUAAUAGAAAGCGUAGAGCAUUUGGUUUCCAAAGCACCUCAUUGUGCACUUGGA